rnacentral:rRNA from 1 species
GUCGAACGGAAACCUUCGGGUUUUAGUGGCGAACGGGUGAGUAACACGUAAGCAACCUACCCUAAAGACGAGGAUAACCAUUGGAAACAGUGGCUAAGACUGGAUAGGAAGAUAAAAGGCAUCUUUUAUCUUUUAAAAGACCUAGUAAUAGGUAUGCUUUAGGAGGGGCUUGCGCCAUAUUAGUUAGUUGGUAGGGUAAUGGCCUACCAAGACGAUGAUGUGUAGCUGGACUGAGAGGUUGAACAGCCACAUUGGGACUGAGACACGGCCCAAACUCCUACGGGAGGCAGCAGUAGGGAAUUUUCGGCAAUGGAGGAAACUCUGACCGAGCAACGCCGCGUGAAUGACGAAGUACUUCGGUAUGUAAAGUUCUUUUAUCAAGGAAGAAAAGCAAAUGGCGAACCAUUUGUUUGCCGGUACUUGAUGAAUAAGCCCCGGCUAAUUAUGUGCCAGCAGCCGCGGUAAGACAUAAGGGGCAAGUGUUAUCCGGAAUUAUUGGGCGUAAAGGGUGCGUAGGCGGUCUAGUAAGUCAGUGGUGUAAUGGCAACGCUUAACGUUGUCCGGCUAUUGAAACUGCUAAACUUGAGUUAGAUAGAGGCGAGUGGAAUUCCAUGUGUAGCGGUAAAAUGCGUAAAUAUAUGGAGGAACACCAGAGGCGUAGGCGGCUCGCUGGGUCUUAACUGACGCUGAGGCACGAAAGCGUGGGGAGCAAACAGGAUUAGAUACCCUGGUAGUCCACGCCGUAAACGAUGAGUACUAAGUGUCGGGUUAAACCGGUACUGAAGUUAACACAUUAAGUACUCCGCCUGAGUAGUACGUACGCAAGUAUGAAACUUAAAGGAAUUGACGGGACUCCGCACAAGCGGUGGAUCAUGUUGUUUAAUUCGAAGUUACCCGAAAAACCUUACCAGGUCUUGACAUGUUUUUGCAAAAUGAUAGUAAUAUCGUGGAGGUUACCAGAAACACAGGUGGUGCAUGGUUGUCGUCAGCUCGUGUCGUGAGAUGUUAGGUUAAGUCCUAAAACGAGCGAAACCCUUAUCGUUAGUUGCCAGCACGUUAUGGUGGGGACUUUAACGAGACUGCCAAUGAUAAAUUGGAGGAAGGUGAGGAUCACGUCAAAUCAGCAUGCCCCUUAUGACCUGGGCUACAAACGUGAUACAAUGGCUGUUACAAAGGGUAGCUGAAACGCAAGUUCUUGGCCAAUCCCCAAAAACAGUCCCAGUCCGGAUUGAAGUCUGCAACUCGACUUCAUGAAGUUGGAAUCGCUAGUAAUCGCGAAUCAGCAUGUCGCGGUGAAUACGUUCUCGGGGUUUGUACACACCGCCCGUCAAACCACGAAAGUUGGCAAUACCCCAAAACGGUAGCCUAACUCGUUUAUUCGAGAGGG